AUCGGAGAAUGGUUAAAAAAAAAAAAAAUCAAUCCCACUACAACCUGGCGGCGGAGGCCGUCACUAGAUCCAAAUCCUUUGCCGCGGCGUGCUUAUCUUCUAGAUAGCAGAGCAAAAAGAACGCCCACAUCGUUGUUUAGUCAUCAUCCCCAGAUCCAGAUCUUUCCACUAGUUUUCUAAAGUUGAACUCUAGACCUAGAUCCUUCCCUCAUCAUAGCCACCCCUCACCGGCGUCAUCGUUGUCACCCGCUACCUCCCACCGGCGCCUGUCCUACAGAUCUAGACAGAAUUAUUGCCCAACGUCAGUCGCUGAAGCCCAUCCAGCAAAAUUGAAUACAAAAGAUUCGGUUACAUUGACACCUGCAAAAUAUGAGGCUUGGAUUCGCUCCCAACAAAUGACAGGAACUUCAGCUCCCACUGCAACUUUACCACAUAGUUCAAAAGGAUCUGAGGACUUGAUAGAUGAUUGGUGGGGGAUAUCAAUCAAAUGGCCUAUACUAUCUAGACAAGAAGGUGAUAGUUGUAGCAGCUAUGAAGCACACAUCCACUGAUGUCUAUCGGAUGCAUUGUCGUGCUGGUCAUCCACCGCCAAACAUUCUUCGAUGAUUGUAUCUAGAGAGUUUGAGUCUGUGAGUGCUUUUGAGUGUGAAGCUUGUCAGUUUGGAAAACACCAUAAAGUCUCUUUUUCUUCUUGCUUUUAGAAUUGUGUGUCUAGUCCCUUUGAGUUGGUUCAUUCAGAUAUAUGGGGUCUGUGCCAUGUUUUUGAUACAUUUGGUCUUCGGUACUUUAUUACGUUUAUGGAUGAUUUUUUCCGAAUGACUUGGUUGUUCUUAAUAAAAGAUCGUAUUGAGAUUUUUCA